rnacentral:rRNA from 1 species
CACGUAGUUAGCCGGCGCUUCUUCUGCAGGUACCGUCACUUGCGCUUCUUCCCUGCUGAAAGAGGUUUACAACCCGAAGGCCGUCAUCCCUCACGCGGCGUCGCUGCAUCAGGCCUUCGCCCAUUGUGCAAUAUUCCCCACUGCUGCCUCCCGUAGGAGUCUGGGCCGUGUCUCAGUCCCAGUGUGGCCGGUCGCCCUCUCAGGCCGGCUACCCGUCGACGCCUUGGUAGGCCGUUACCCCACCAACAAGCUGAUAGGCCGCGAGCCCAUCCCUCACCGAAAAACCUUUCCAACACCCACCAUGCGAUGAGCGCUCAUAUCCGGUAUUAGACCCCGUUUCCAAGGCCUUAUCCCGAAGUGAAGGGCAGGUUGCUCACGUGUUACUCACCCGUUCGCCACUGAUCCACCCAGCAAGCUGGGCUUCACCGUUCGACUUGCAUGUGUUAAGCACGCCGCCAGCGUCGUCUCGUAGCCGCGAAGUCAACUACU